AAGUCGUAACAAGGUUUCCGUAGGUGAACCUGCGGAAGGAUCAUUACAGAGUUAGGGUCCCCAGGGCCCGACCUCCCACCCUCUGUCGUCAGAAACCUUUGUUGCCUCGGCGUUUCCGGGGGGGCCACGGUGCUUCUCGCACCCGGCAACCCGGGCGCCGGUGGACCAAUCAAAACUCUUUCUUCGAACAUUUCGUCCGAGUACAAACUAAAUGAAAUCAAAA
rnacentral:misc_RNA from 1 species